CGUAAUUGUGCUAAGCGCAAUUUUAAAGAUGAACACUUUCAGUAAAUUUGCACAUGCCGCACUUGGGCUAGGUGAGCAAUAAUGUCAAGUACGCAAUAGGCUUACGGAGGAAUUUGGAAAGGGACGCAUAAGGGUUACAGAAGUAUUAGGGUUACGGGCGUAUUAGGGCUGAUGACGUAUUAUGGUAACGGACGAAAUAGAUUUACGGGUCCUACGGUUCUCAGUCGAAGCAAACGCUCCGACUGUUCUGACGGCUUGUUUUAAAUAGUUUUUUUUCAGUUUU